CUAAAAUCCUCACCAAAGGAUGAAGCCUCAAAUGAUGCCUUCCAAAAUCCAUCAUAGAGCCUCUGACGGGCUUAGAUCCAAUCUGCUGCCUUGGUUUUCGUUGACCUCUCCUGAUUUCCCACCUUCAUUCCAGAAUGUUUCUUUGUUCCUCUCUGCAUCCUUAUCUGUGGGAGUCCCCGCGUACUGUCCUCAGUCUCUGCUCCUCUCUUCUCUGGCUCCAGGACAGCUGUACCCAUUCAGUGCUCUCACGGCCCAUGCUCACCAGAUGGCUUCCUCCUUUAUCUUAGGCCCUAAGCUCUAGGACAAACUUUGAGUUCUCACAUGCCAGUUUCCUGUUUAGUGUCUGCACUCUGUGUUCUCCGGAUGACUCCAAUGCAUGGUCUGCUUCCCUUCCACUUCCCCUCAUAGUCAAUCAGAUACAAAGUCAUGAAGCGUUUACCUCGAAGAGAUCUCCUGGAGCCAAGUACAUUCGUCUGUCCUUAAUACUGCCGGCAUCAUUGAAGGCCUUUCUUGCCUUGAUUUGGUUUCACCAGGUAAUUUUCUAAUGAGUCUUUCCAUUCGAAUUUGAACCUCUCCUUCUUCAGUACACUCUGUUCAUGACUCUAGGAUAAUUUAUUAGCGUCAUCAUUCAGCAUUACGGAUCAGGGAGAACCCUUGAAUGGACGCCUAGAAACCUGACCACUACCAGCUGGGUAACUGUCAUUUUUUGCCUCCCCACCAAGACCGCACUGUACCAUCUUAAACAGAUGAAAAAUUAAAAAAUCAUAAAAAAUAAAAAUAAGAUAAAGUGUAAAAAAUAGACUAAGUGAUUUCUUCAUCUCUGUCUGGCUGUAUAGUUUUUUUUAAUACCUUUUUUGAGAUACAAAUUAUAUAUAUUUCAGGAAGUCUACCUAUCUCAGGUGUACAGUCCAGUUUUUUUUAGUAUAUUCACAGAAUUGUGCAACCACUAGCAUUUAAUUGUGGAACACUUUGGUCACCCCUAAAAGGGAUCCAUUGGAAGUCACUCCCCCUGUCCCCCAACCUCACCUUCCAGCCCCAGGCAACUAAACUGCUCAUCUACUUUCUGUCCCUACAUAUUUGCCUGUUUGGGACAUUUCUUAUAAAUGAGAUCAAGCAUCAUGUGGCCUUUUGUGUCUCUUUUCACUUAACCUAAUGUUUUCAAGGUUUAGCCACAAUGUAGCAUGUAUCAGUUAUCAGUCCUUCAUUAAAAAAAAUUUUUUUUAAUGAUUAUUUAUUUUUGAGAGAGAAACAGAGCACAAGUAGAGGAGGGGCAGAGAGAAAGGGAGACACAGAAUCUAAAGCAGGCUCCAGGUGCUGAGCUGUCAGCCCAGAGCCCCACAUGGGGCUUGAACUCACAGACAGUGAGAUCAUGACCUGAGAUGAAGUCAGAUGCUUAACUGACUGAGCCACCCAGGCACCCGGAUCAGUCCUUCAUUGUUUAUGGCUAAAUAAUACUCCCUUUAUUGAUAUGCUACAUUUUGUUUAUCCAUUCAUCUGUUGAUAGACAUUUGUAUUUCUACUUUAUGGCUGUUGUGAAAAUGCUGCCAUGAAAGCUUCAAGUUUUAGAUAUUAUUCUUAGCAUGAUACCAAGAGACAGAGCAAUAUUGCAUUUUUCAUUACUCUUCUACAUGUUUUUAUUUGUUUUUGAGAGAGAGACAGAGUGUGAGCAGGGAAGGGGCAGAGAGAGGGGAAGACACAGGAUCCAAAGCAGGCUCCAGGCUCUGAGCUGUCAGCACAGAGCCUGACGCAGGGCUCGAACUCAUGAACCAGGAUAUCAUGACCUGAACUGAGGUUGGACGCUUGACGAUCUGAGGCACCCAGGCGCCCCCAUUUUUCAUUGUUCCUUACAGAUAACCUGUAAAGCCAUUUUCACAUAGAGAUGGGAUACUCUCAAAGGAGAAAUCUACUGACAAUCUAAGGAGGUGUCUCUUGCACACACACACAUACAUACACACACAUACACACAUACACACAACCCCCCCCCCCCAAAAAAAAACCCUUGAAGUUUCUGUUACUGCUUUCAACUGUAGCCAUGUCUAUUAAAAGCCACUUGUAAAUAGCUAACUUCAGCUCUGGCAUGCCAUAGAUUAGGCAUAUUUGUUUUCCAGGGAAGAUUAUAAAUAGAGGGGGGAGGGGGGAGUGAAACAGAAUGUAUUUUGCAAAUGAGCCCAGAUGGAAAACUAACAGAUGGCCAUGCACUGUAUUUUGUGUGUUCAGACCUACAUUUAAAUUAAAAAUUUUCAUAAUUAUGAUUAAUGUCUGUAGCAACACUAGUUUUCCUGUGGUGGCAUCAUAUAUCAUGUAUCGGAGGUAUUGAACAGAACAUUUUCAUGAAAAGGUUUCAGACUUUAUACAAAUUUUGGUACUUGCCUGCCCUACACUUAAGAAGGAAACAAAACAAAACCUCACUCAGCAGUGAUGGAGCGCGCUGAGAAAACUUCAGUACAAGUGGACUUUCUAUAAUAAGCCCGUCUGCCGCCAUCUGGUUUUUCCUCCCAUGUUAAAACUCCAAGCCAGCUAUUCCGUGCAGAGGGGGAAAUAAUGGGCCCUUAUUUGCAUGGAUAUUUUUUUCUAGAUUCUGAUAUGAAGAGUUUUCUCUUGGAUCAUGCCUUUUUUUUUUUUUUUAAUUUCCAUCAGUACAUGCGGUGUAUUUAUUUUCUAAUGGUAGAUGUCUCAUCUUGCAAGCUGUCCAGCCCCCUUUGCUUUCCUCCUUUCCCCAUUUUCCUGAGUGAUUCUGUGUGUUGGCCUUUUCCCAGUCUUAGUAGAGGCGGGCAGUGUUGAGGAGGGUCCCUGGAGUGUUUCUCCAGGUAGAAUCAGGACUUUGGAGCCUGCACAGUGAGAAUGUGAAGCCAAAUCACUCUUUGUAGGACCUUUGGUCAACUGGGUGGACUUUGUGCAGUGCCCUUGACUUCCUUCCAUCAACUCAGGUUCUGGAUGUGUAAAAUGGGGAGAUGUCACUGCUCUUUACAAGAUGUUUUAUAUGCUGUACCUCUUUUUGCUCUUCUAUGGUGCUCUGCUCUGGGACACAUCCAGACUGCCUUCCAUUUUGGCAGCUCCUUAUUCUUUCCUACUUCUCCUCUGACAUACUCUCCCAGCAUCUUGGGUUUUUACCCCCAUCAGUAUAUCACAACUGUGCCCAUUUUUUACUUGCCAUUCUGUCUCAUGGUUGGCGUUUUGCCUUGGGCAGGAUCCUUCCUCCCUGACAUUUUUUUUUCUGAUAUAAGAGAUAUCAUACACAGUUUUGCUCUUUGGCUUUAACACAACACAUUCCUCAAGGUGACUCCUCCUGGGCCCUUUCAUGGCCAGGCUCCCCUGUAGUGGAAAGAUACUGGCAUGGAGCUCCAGCUGGACUAACCAACAAAUGCAUCACCCUCUGGUACCACUGACCACGGUGGGUUUGCAGUUGGAGGGGGUGGCUUUUACUUUACUGAUAUCCUAAAACUGCUGCAUUUCACUCAAGACAGCAAACAGUAAUGGCAGACAUUUUGAGUGUACGUGGUGGUGAGACCCAAAGUUUACUCUUGGGACAACACUUUAUUCAUAUUAGCAACAUCCACUGAGUCUAGAAAGUAGAGCUGAUGAGACUUUUUUCUAGGUCGUUCCGGCUUUUCAAGAUGGUGUGUUUGGUGGGGGGAGUGGGACCGGGUGAGGGAUAAAGCCAAGCUCUGGUAUUCUCGCCCUUAAACUUUUGCUUUCUUGCUUUCUAUUAGAAAUUUUACCUUCCUUUUUAAAAAAAACAGUUUAUUUAUUUUUGGAAAAGAGAGAGAGAGAGCAUGCAUCUAUGCAAGCAGGACAGAGGAUAUGAAGCAAGUUCUGCCCAGAUAGCAAUGAGGCCCCUGUAGGGCUCGAAGUCACAAACCAUGAGAUCAUGACCUGAGCCGAAGUCGGAUGCUCAACCGACUGAGCCACCCAGGCGCCCCUCAAAAUUUUACCUUCCAAAUAUAUUGGAAGAAGAUGCAUGAUGGAGAAGGGAAUGUGGACAAAAUGAACAACCACUUUAGGAUAUUUUACUUACAAUUUAGAAAAGUUAAGUUAGAUUUGUGACAAAAAAUCUCAUUCAUCUCUUUUCAGGCUCUCAUAUAUGAGAGAGAAACUGAAAAGGAUAAAUGAAAGGAAUGAAACAUUAGCAGCCCAUUUUGUAAGUCAAGCCAGAAGCUAUGUUCUAUGAAUACUUUAAAUUAUUAUAUAUGCCCGUGUACUGGAGAACGAACAUAUUUGAUGCCAAAAAAGAAGCCUUGGAAGAGCUGCUGAGCAUUUAGCAACAUCACUAAUUAUUUGUGUAACGUUUGGCAAACAGUCAAAACCAGAAAUUUUUUUCUGGUAAACAUAUUUUUACACAUUUGUCCUCCGUACAAAAAUAACCAGUCGCGAUGCAUAUAUUUUCACUUGCCCAUGUUUGCAUUGCUGAGGCAUAAAGCACUCCUCCCUUAAAAGGUUCCUUUCAAAGUUAUCAGCUAAUUCAUAAGCCCAGAGAACCUGGGGGCCCACAAGCAUAUGCUUUGCAUUGAAACACCAGCUUGGUAAUCAAACGAGGAGCAAUCGAAUAUGAGCUUUCAAGGCAGGUGAAUUUGACUGUAAAUCAUGGUUCUGCACAUAGGUUUGUAUUUUCUACUCUUAAUUACAUCUGUGCAAAUCUCCAUUUGUUUGUAGUUGCCUAAUACACAGACUGGGCUAUUUGCAUUCCCAGAGGCACCUUUCCAUGGUGUGUACUUCUCCAAGGGGGGGAAAAACCCUGCUUCAGCCAUUAAUUUGAAUAUUAAGUGCAAAAAGAGAUAUAGAAGUGAAUGCUCUUCAAUUCAGCAAAUACUAACCGAGCCCUUGCAAAGUGCUGAUAGAGAUACACCGGAAAUUCAAUUCACCUAAACUCAUUAAAGCUCAAUUUCCUCAUCUAUGAAAUGGGAGUAAUAGAAAAAAAAAAAAAGGAGUGUUCAUUUAAAAUGCUGUAUGAGUUAGAAAUAGUAGUAGUGAUAGUAAAUUGCAAUCCAGUGCCUUGUUUCUUUUUUUUUUUUUUUUUUUUUUUUUGGCAGCACCACUUAAUUCCAGGUAUUUUUCUACAAAAGACUUUGUGAAUAUGACAGGAACAAAAACAGAAGGCAGUUGCUUUUACAUCCAGGUUACCUUUUUUUUUUUUUUUUCACUUUUGUCAAUCCCAUUUUCUAAGAAAGGAUUUACAACAGCCAGUGGCGGUCAAAAGUGUGUGUGAUGUACAGGCAGCAUGAAUGUGGGCCAUGCCUUUUUUGGGGGAGAUGCUAUAUGUUCUGCGAUAACAGAAAGAAAACAGGGGACUGCCUACUUCUAGGUUAAGUGUACAAAAAUGAAAGAAAAAAAGAGAUCUUCAGAUUGCUUCUAGGCCUCAGUGGAUUUCCUCAGAUAGAUAAGAAAGCAAGGGAUAUGAGCAGAUGAUUCAUCCUGUCUGACUGUAGUCUUCCCAGAACUGUGUCUGUGUAGAAAGUGGAAAUCUAUGCAUCCUGCCUGCCACACAGUGUCCUUAUAAAGAUCCAAACCCACACAGUGCAUGUGAAAACUCUUUAUAAAUACCAAACAACCAGGUCUUUAUUAUUUUCCUCUUAACCUGAGUUUAGGGAGUGGGAAACAAAGUGUUGAAGACACUCAGUAGAUAGCUUUCCUCAAAGAAAUUAGGAAAGAAUACCAGUAAAACCUUGGACUGUGAGCAAAUUGUCUGCAAGUGUUCCGCAAGACGAGCAAACAUUUCUAAUAAACUUUAACUUGAUAAACAAGACAUUCUGUAAAUGUCUUAUAAAACGAGUAGUACAUGAUGCCACAUGUCAUGUGAUCACAAGUGAACCAACGGUUCUUGAAAUUUGCUUUGAUAUACGAGUGCUUUGGAAACCAAGGUUUUACUGUAAGUAAGCCAAGAAGUACAUUGGGCUCUAUCUAACUUCGACGUUUACAUCCUGAUUUUCCACAGCCUUCUGAGCCACAUCCCCGUGGCCAGCUGAGCAGGGACGGUUAUGUAUAGUGGCUAGACUGAAGCUGGAUCUAGCCUGUCAAUGACAAAAUGAGGAAGUAAAAGUAAGUCUUCUCAGUCACCUUCAAAAAAAAAAAAUUACCAUCUCCAUUUAGACGGUCCAUUCCUCAUCUGUAACACAUAAAGGCUAGGUCAGAUGCUCUCUGAGAUUUCUUCCAAAGUCAGAGAAUCUUCCCAAAGUCAGAGAAUAAAAUAAUCCUUCAUAUGUGUUCCUGGACAUGAGUGAUUAUGUUGGUGAUCUCAUGGGGACAUUUCCUUCUGUAUCAUGAGGACUCAGCAUCAAAGGUUGUCCUACCCUGGAGCAAUCGGGAGCUAUGCUUAAUAGCCUGCAGGUGACCAUAUCAGGUAGCCACUGAGGGCCACAGAGGCUUGUUCUGAAAAGCUGGAUCUUCUGUAGGCCCAGUUGAUUGGCUGAGAAUCAAGCCAUUCAUUAGUCCCUUAUCAGUCUCACUAGUUUCCUUCAUAUGCACUGCAGAGGUGUGAUUUCCCCAGGUAGCCCCAGCCACUACAGUGACAGAGAAUCAUAUUUGCAAUGGCCUUUCAAGAUUAGAAGAGACCACAAUUUAUGGCCUCAGAAGCCACAGGAGGUUGACCUUCUGCAUUCAAGAGUCUCGCUUGAGAAGAGCCACUAAAUGUUUCUUCGUUCUCUUUCUUUAGUAAGCUUUCUCUUAUCUGUUGAUGCUGCUCUCUCCUAUUUAUCCAUUCAUUAGUUUAUGAAGUAAUUGAUUUAUUAGCAUUCUUUCUAAAGAGUUAUUUGCUGUUUAAACAGCGGUUAUCCAGGAAUUUCUGAUCGGGUGGAAAGCUGUGUCAUUUUUGGAAAAUGCCACCCCCACCCCAAAAGUGGCUUUCUCUUGCCAGGGUAUAAAGUCAUAAUUAGAAAUGAAAGCUCAGAAUCAAGCUGAAGAGGAAGAUGUAAGAAAACUUAGUUAUUUUUAAGAAGCAAGAGGUUAAGUAAUGUACCUAAUGUCCUCAAAAGUGACAGGGUUGGAAUUCAAACCCAGCCUUCCUGAUACCAAAGUGUAUAGUUUUCCAGGGUUCCCACACCAUUGCCAGGGACAAAAAUUAUCCAGAAAAGCAGACAGUCGCUAAAAGCUUCCUUCCUGCCUUCAGGGUUCCUGCGAGGAACCAUAUCCUCAUGCUUUUUUGUUCUGGCGAUGCUUCCCAUGACUUAAUCAGUGGAGCAGUAAGUGAGGGUUAGGUCCUCAGUUAGGUGCAUCUUUAUGCACCUGCAUUCUAUAGUCAUUCCAUUACGUGGCCCUGAUUUAACGAUUUUCUACGUUUUACAUUGGGGAUAAGUUGAUUUCCUGGAAAAUCGUGACAAAGAGGCUUCAUCAGAGUAUAGUGAGUUUGGUGCCCGUAGUGCUUGGGGGUUGCAGCAUCAUAUGCGUCUGUCCCAAGAGCUUUCCUACCUAUAUCUAAAGGCCUUACUUCUCAUGUGGACUUGGCAACGGCAAGCAGAAGUCUUCACAGAACACUCCUGUGUUCUCCAUCCCUUAAUGUCAAGUAGCAGGCCUCUGUGUAAUCAGAAAUGUAGGCUGUGCAGGGAGAUUUCUAUUUAUUUCUUUUUUUAAUGUUUAUUUACAGAGACAUAGAGAGGGAAUGAGUGGGGGACGGGCAGAGAGAGAGAGAGAGACAGAGAGAGACAGAGAGAGAGCGAGAGACAAAGAGAAUCCCAAACAGGCUCCACGCUGUCAGCACAGAUCACGACCUGGGGCUCAGUCUCAUGAGAUCAUGACCUGAGCUGAAAUAAAAAGUUAGAUGUUUAACCAACUGAGCCCCCCCCAGGCACCCCAGGAAACUUCUAUUUCUUAAGAAUUAAUUGGCCGGGUGUCCAUUUCUAGUCUAACAUUCACUGAAACAGGCUCUAUGUGACAGGACCUUCAGUUGCUCUCAAGGGUUUUUUGGGGUGGCCAGUGCCAUUUUAUUUUGCCAGAGGUUGAUUUAUAGAGAGAUUAUAAAUUCCAGGUAACGAACACAUGUGUGGAAUCUCAUCUCUUUAUAUCCUAGGAACUGACUGAUCUAUUUCAGCUGGGCUUGUGAGAAAUUUAACUUCAGUUAGGCCAAGUUUGGGAGGUUCCUGAGUUUCCAAAGAUUCUCACAAAAAAGAGUGAGCUGUCCUUGUUUAUCAUGUCCUUGGCUUGCUCCGGUUGUGGCUGAACCACACAAAUCAGAUCCAUGUGGGCUUCUGCGGGGUGACAGCUUUGUCACUGGCCAUGCAUGGAUCUGCUUCAUUCACCUCCGGGUUUUGCUUCCUAGGGACUUGCUGUGUCCAGUCCUGCCAGGAAGUAGGACUGUGACCGUUCCUUUUCGAGGGCAGCUUGACUGGGCCAUGGGGUACCUAGACAUUCAGUCAAACAUGGUUUUGGGUGUGUAAGUGAGGGUGUUUAUGGAGAGCUUAGCAUUGCCAUUGGUAGGCUGAGUGAAGCUCAGUGCCCUCCCUAAUGUGGAUAGGACACCCUACCCAAUGAGUUGAAGGACUGACUAGCAGAAGAAGCUAAUCCUUCUCUGGGAGUAAGGUGAACUCCUCCUGUGCGACUGCCUUCCAACUGAGACAUCAGCUUUCUUCCUGCCCUUGGGCCUAAACUGAAACAUCGUCUCUCCUGGGUCUUACUCGAUCAGCAUUUGAAAUAGAACCCCACCAACAGCUCACUUGGGGCCUCUGGCUCACCAGCUGCAAAUCUUGAGAAUUGUCAGCCUCCGUAAUUGUGUGAGGCAAUUCCUUAUGCUGAAUCCGUCUAUAUCACCUGUCUGUCCGUCCCUCCAUCAAAUUAUAUUUGGUCCCAUUUGUUUCUGGAAAGCCCUAUUACAAGAACAUAGCUCUUCUCUGUUUUUCUCUCCCCUGCUUCGCCUCUUGACCUCCCCAGCCUUCUGUCCCUACUUUUGUCAAACGUCUGGCUAAGAUAACUGAGUGUGUACAAGUAUCCCCGUGCAUUAGUUUCUGAAGGUUGCUGUAACAAAGUACCACAAACUGACUGGCUUCAAACAACAGAAAGUAUUCCUCAACAGGUGAGGAAGCUGGAGGUCUAAAAUUGGACAUCAGCAGGGCCACGUCCUCUGAAGCUUUGGGGGAGGAUCUGUCCUUGCCUCUUCCAGGUUCUGGUGGCAGCUGGCAAUCCUUCUUCCCUGGUUUGCAGCUGCAUUGCUUCAAUUUCUGCCUUUGUCUUCAUGUGGCUGUCUUAUCUCUUUACGUGUCUAAAUUUUGUCUCUAAUUUCUCUCAUUAGAAGGAUGCUAGUCUUUGGAUUGGGGCCCACAUAAAUCCAGUAUGACCUCAUCUUAAAUUAACUAAUCACAUCUGCAAAGACUCUUUUAGGUUAUUUCUAUUCCAUGUGAGAAUUAUUUCUUAUACAUGUACUCUCAUACACACACACACACACACACACACACACACACACACACUUUUCUUGAGGUAAUGUUCACAGAACCAGCUGUGACACAUGCUUGAACAUAGAAAAGGGAGAGGAUAAAUAAAUAGAAAUGAUAGAUGUUCAUGUGUUGAAAUAUUUUUCUGACUAAUCUAUAAGAAGGUCUUACUAUUAGAAAGCAUCACACAGUAAAACACGUAUUUUGACAGGCUCAGAAAUGACUCCUAGACCCUGUGGGAUGGAAAGGAGUCCUACAAGCCUCCCUUUGAUGCUCAAGGCAUAUGUCAAGAUUGCAGGACAAUGCAGGGAUAGUAUGGAAAAUUGCCUCAUCAGGUGCACAAACAAACAGCCUUGCCUUGGCCAUAUUUGCUUCUAAACCCUCGCACAGCCCACCCCCCCUCACCCAUUCAGUCUGCUGUUCUUUCUGUGUUGCAAUAUUUUCUGCAUCUGAGGUUUUUAAAGAAAGGGAUUUUUAAGUUUCCUUUUCAUUUCAGAACCUGUUUAUUGCACAUUAUAUUUGGCGAUUUUUUUUAAUUUUUAAUUUUUUUUUUUGAAUGACAGCGAGCAGGGGAGGGGCAGAGAGAGAGGGAGACACAGAAUUCGAAAUAGGCUCCAGGCUCUGAGCUGUCAGCACAGAGCCAGAUGCAGGGCUUGAACCCACAAACUGCAAGAUCAUGACCUGAGUCAAAGUGGGACUUUCAACCGAUUCUCCCUAUCUUUUGCUAUUUGGUUACUGUCCACCUUUCAUGUUAGAGGAUUUCCUCUGGGUUUUUGUGAUCUUUCAUUGUUUCUUUGCAUAUGAGUGAGAGACUAAAAACUCACUGGGAUUGCAGGCCCUUGAGUGGGGUAUGUGGACUAUGAGUUUCACCAAAGAUGACCUGACCGGGCCAUCUUAUUGAAAAAUCCUUAAUGUUACAUCAUUCUUUUGGAUCCUUUAUAGAUCCUUCAGUAUCCUGCCUGAAGAGUAAAAGACCGGCACAAGAAUUCUGGAACCCUCAUAGAGGAAGGUGCCUGGGGGUCUCAGUAUCUCAUAUAUAUGUAUGCUCAUAUGUGUAUGUUCACUUAAUUCUCUGUUUUCAUCAUGGAACAAGUAUUGUUGAGGGUUCCUACAUUGCUUAUAGGAAUGUGUUUGUCAAAAAUGUGAAAGAACCCAAGAUGUCCUUCACUAGGUGAAUGGAUAAACAAAUUGUUGUAUAUCCAUUCAAUGGACUACUAUUCAGCUAUAAAAUCAAAUAAGCUAUCAAGUCAUGAAAAACAGCAUGAUGAUGAACCUAAAAUGAAUAUUAAAAUUGGUUGAUCAGUGUGAAAAGGUUAUGCAUUUUAUGAUUCCAAUUAUAUGGCAUUAUAGAAGUGAAAAACUCUAAAGACAGUAAAAAGAUCAGUGGUUGCCUGGAGUUCGGGGGAGUAGGGGAGGAUUGAGUAGGUGAAGCACAGGAGGUUUUCAGGGUGGUAAAUCUCUUCUGCCUGAGACUAUAAUGGCGGAUACCUGACAUCAUGCGUUCGUCAAGACCCAUAGAGCUUGAUAUGGCACAAAGUAAACUUUAAUCUGUGCAACUUUCACCAUAUCAUUUAGGAGGUCAGGGAUCUCAGGAAGAAUGUAGCCUGUGACAUGAAAAUCAAACUGGAUUACAAAUGUAUGAGACAACCUCACUGAAGGGGGUGGGGGAGGUUGCUGACCUAAGUGGCUGUGUGCACACACACACAUACUGCACUCUAGUUAAUAAAUUUGUUUCCCAUGGGGUUACGGCUUAACAAUUCUGAUACUGCUAUGCAUGUAUAUUGGAAUUUAAAAAUUAAGUAAAUGUGUGGCAGAUGGCAGGGGCCAGGUUUCUCACUGUUAGAAUGGGAAUCCACCGUUAAGCAAGGGGAGGAGGCUAAAAUGAUCCAUGUGACCAUAGAUUAGAGUUGGAGGCAUUCAUAUGCACUCAUGUUUAACUCAAUCCAGAUACAGAUGGUUAUAUAUGAAAAUAUCUGUAGAUAUGUGUCUGUGGGGUAGUUAGUCACAUAUAUAAUCCUUGCCCUGUCAGAUGAGAGACCUACAAGUAAGACUACUCUAGUCACAAGUACACUCAGCAGCUAUAUCUUGGUAUCUAAUGCCAUUUUCCAGAAACAAGAAGCAGGGCUCCUUGGAGAAGUGGUUGAUUCUUGGGCUAGAGUAGGAAAUAUAUAAGGUAUGACUGGAAUCCCUUAUAGUGACAGAAAGUAAGAAAUUCCAAAAAACAAAACAAAGCAAAAACCUACAUUGAUGGGGUGUUGCCAAAGGGACACAGGACAGUUCAGUCCAACUGAAAGAACUCCUUUUUUUUUUUUAAGUCUAUUUACUUAUUUUGAGAGAAAGAGAGAGAGAGAACAGGGGAGGGGAAGAGAGAGAGGGAGAGAGAGAAAUCUCAACCAGGCUCCUCACCCAGCACAGAGCCUGACUCGGGGCUCAAACUCACAAACCAUGAGAUCAUGACCUGAGCUGAAAUCAACAGUCCAACACUUAAACGACUGAGCCACUCCAGCACCCCACAAGUGGAAGAACUCCUAAUGGCCAAAGCUAAAACAAUUGGAACAACAAGAUAAAAUACUACUGCACUAGAACUCAAAGUAUAAAAUAAAUAUCCUUUAGUCCACACUGAUAUAAAUAAAUGAUUGAAUAAAUAAAAGAUAAAUCUGUGCAGAGGAACUUCAAUGUAACUUAUGUAGAUAUUCCAUCCUUAAAAAGGAGGAACAUAACUCCACACUCCCUAUGAGUGGGCAGAACAUGGUGACUUCCUUCCAUGGAAUACAGUAUGGCAAGCUGGGAGAAAGAGGAACUUUACAGAGGAGAAAACAUUACACACCACCUCAGCCAGGUGAUUAGGGUCGACACCAGCUGUGAUAAAUCAUGUUGAUAGUACUUACCUGUGUUGUGGUGUGAUGAAAAUAUCCCUUUGUGUCUCUUUACAUCUGGUUAUCUUCUUCCCAAAAAGCUGUCACUCCAGUCUAGUCAUGAGACAAACAUCAGACAAAUUCUAGUAGAGGGGCAUUCUACAAAAUACUUGACCAGUAUUCAUCAAAACUGUCAGGUUCAUCAAAAAUAAGGAAUUUGAGAAACUGUCACAGCCAAAAAACAAAAAACAAAAAACCAAGAAAACAUAA